rnacentral:rRNA from 1 species
CCCUUAGAUGUUCUGGGCUGCACGCGCGCUACACUGAUGCACUCAACGAGUUUACGACCUUGUCCGAGAGGAUUGGGUAAUCUUUUUAAAAUGCAUCGUGAUGGGGAUAGAUUAUUGCAAUUAUUAAUCUUCAACGAGGAAUUCCUAGUAAGCGCGAGUCAUCAGCUCGUGCUGAUCACGUCCCUGCCCUUUGUACACACCGCCCGUCGCUCCUACCGAUUGAGUGGUCCGGUGAGGCUUUGGGAUCUGAGCGGAAAGAGCGUUUCGCUGUUUCUGCUCGGAAAACUCAGUCGAACCUUAUCAUUUAGAGGAAGGAGAAGUCGUAACA